UACAGGAGGUCUCGAGCGUUAGGCGGAAUCACUGGGCUUAAAGCGUGUGUAGGCGGAUCGGUAAGUACCUUGUGAAAUCCCACAGCUUAACUGUGGAACUGCUUGGUAUACUGCCAGUCUUGAGCCACUUAGGGGCUACCGGAACAAAUGGUGGAGCGGUGAAAUGCGUAGAUAUCAAUUUGGAACGCCAAUGGUGAAAACAGCUCGCUGGGAGUGAUGCUGACGCUGGAGACACGAAAGCCAGGGUAGCGAACGGG
rnacentral:rRNA from 1 species